CGGGGGUCCGCGACCCGAGCCCUGCCCCCUGGCCCACCCACGGGGGCCACUGCCAACCGGCUCCGCAGUGCCGCCGAGCCCGUGGCUUCCACGCCAGCCUCCCGCAUCCAGCCGGCUGGCAAUACUUCUCCCAGAGCGAUCUCGCGGGUCGACCGGGAGAGGAAGGUGAGUAUGAGGCUGCACAGGGGUGCGCCCGCCAACGUCUCCUCCUCAGACCUCACUGGGCGGCAAGAGGUCUCCCGGAUCCCAGCCUCACAGACAAGUGUGCCAUUUGACCAUCUCGGGAAGUGAGGAGAGCCCCCAUUGGACCAGUGUUUGCUUAGGUGAGUCCAUGACUGCUGCAGAUGCAGCCAGCCCAGCCGACCUAGAAGCUCCCAGGGCCCCAGAAAGAGACCAAUGUGUUGUGGAGGGGUGGGUGGCAGUGGCAGUGGCAGAUGGUACCAGGCGCCCCAGAACUCUAAGGGGCCUCAAGUAGUUUAAAACCUCGGAGGCUGCCUGACUUGGGGCCAAGGGUUUCUAUGCUCAGGCCUGACCCCUCAUGGAUUAGUUUCUGCUGGAAAAACUUUUUCUGCCCUCGGCCAGGUCUCUAUCUCCUUCUGCCUUAACAUAUUUUGGAAGGUUGGUUCCCAGCAGAGACGGGGCCAUGGGCUCACACUCUGACCUCUCCCA
rnacentral:lncRNA from 1 species